GUUGAGCCCUUGGCCGUCCCAUAUCUUAUUAUGCCAAUUAAUUUUCACGUCCUAUGGGAAUCAUUUGGAAAUACUUGUCAUUAUGCCAACCAUAGCAGCCUAUUCGAUUUGCGUACGGCAUUCAGAACCCCGGGACUUUUACCUUUAUUUCAAGCGCACAGUUCCGGGUAGUCUGACAGACACACAGUGAUAAAGUUCAACAAAGGUAGAUAUAUCAGAGCUGCACUCUAGCUACCAGAGUUGACACUUCAAACCUGGAUUAUAAGGAAAAAGGAGGCAGCCUCGGACUGCAACAUCUAUUCCCUGAAUAAGCAGCACAUUAACCAGUAGGAGGACCUUUCAGACCUCCAGGGAACUAAAGAAGAGGGGGACGGACCGAAAUCACCUCCGGGUUAACCACUAUAGAAGAAGAUCAAGCCAAGGAUCCCUAUGUCGCACUACAACAAUACUGGAGAAUAUAACAACCCUGCCUAUCAUGACAGUGACACCCUGGAGAUAGAUAGGAGUCCUUCCAGGAAAUCCCAAUCCCAUCACAGUAACCCACAUGGUAACCCCUACCCCAGGGAUGAUGGAGCCGGGGGGCAGAGAGGCAGGUCUGACCUCCAGCAGCUCCCAGGAGGGGUCCAGUCCAGCUACGACGAUGCCCAGGAGAGAGUACCCUGGGGCGGGUGGCAGGAGGGGAGCUGGAGGGGCAGAGACAGCAUUCCCAUGGGUCUCCUUCCUCCCCGGUCGGAGAGCCCACGAUGGCAGCAGCAUGACCUCAAUCACAGCGGGUACCAGAUCGACCAGGCAACGCAUUAUGAC
rnacentral:lncRNA from 1 species